rnacentral:rRNA from 1 species
UACGUAGGGUGCAAGCGUUAAUCGGAAUUACUGGGCGUAAAGCGUGCGCAGGCGGCUUUGUAAGACAGGCGUGAAAUCCCCGGGCUUAACCUGGGAAUGGCGCUUGUGACUGCAAAGCUGGAGUGCGGCAGAGGGGGAUGGAAUUCCGCGUGUAGCAGUGAAAUGCGUAGAUAUGCGGAGGAACACCGAUGGCGAAGGCAAUCCCCUGGGCCUGCACUGACGCUCAUGCACGAAAGCGUGGGGAGCAAACAGG